rnacentral:misc_RNA from 1 species
AAAGUCGUAACAAGGUAACCGUAGGUGAACCUGCGGUUGGAUCAUUAAAAAAUAUUCAAUGGUGCCGCUGUUUGCAUAAGGCUUUCUUGGCUCUAAGGGACGCAAGUUAGGUCCUUGCUGGGAUUUGCUGCAAUCAGGGGCUUGUCGGGUCCGCCUCCACAACUAUCGACACGGUGGUUGGUUAGACCUGACAGUGAAUAACAGCAUCUCGCUGAAAAACCACACAUUUUGUGAACCGUUUCGUCUCUGGCAGGAGGGCAGCGUAAGCUGCUUGUCAGCACUGCAUUUUUGUAGUGCCGUGGACAGCCUGCCAAACACUUGCUUAACCUAUAUUUUUAUACUUGAUGUCUGACAUUUACUUGUAUUAAUAUACAAAACAACUUUUGGCAACGGAUCUCUUGGCUCUC